AAACAAUAGAGAGAGAGAAGGAGAUUGCGGCACCCACAAAGCAUCCAAAAUCCACUGGUGAAAGAUCAUCGAAAUGGCGACUUUUGCCAAACCGGAGAAUGCUUUGAAGCGUGCUGAAGAGUUGAUCACUGUUGGACAAAAGCAAGAAGCCCUUCAAGCACUUCAUGAUCUUAUUACUUCAAGGAGGUAUAGAGCAUGGCAAAAGACUCUUGAAAGGAUAAUGUUCAAGUAUGUUGAGCUAUGUGUUGACAUGAGAAGGGGGAGGUUUGCCAAGGAUGGCCUAAUUCAAUAUCGUAUCGUCUGUCAACAAGUGAACAUUAACUCCUUAGAGGAGGUAAUAAAGCACUUCAUGCAUUUAGCUACUGAGCGAGCUGAACUAGCUCGCAAUCAGGCACAAGCUCUUGAGGAAGCUCUGGAUGUGGAAGACUUGGAGGCUGAUAAAAGGCCUGAAGAUCUUAUGUUGAGUUAUGUUAGUGGGGAGAAAGGAAAAGAUCGAUCUGAUCGGGAGCUUGUCACUCCCUGGUUUAAGUUCUUGUGGGAGACAUAUAGAACUGUUCUGGAGAUCUUGCGUAACAACUCAAGAUUGGAGGCUCUGUAUGCAAUGACAGCACACCGAGCCUUUCAGUUCUGUAAGCAAUACAAGCGUACAACAGAAUUUCGCCGUCUUUGUGAAAUCAUCAGGAAUCAUUUGGCAAAUCUCAACAAGUAUAGAGAUCAGAGGGACCGUCCUGAUCUGUCUCUUCCAGAAAGUCUGCAAUUGUAUCUAGACACUAGAUUUGAACAGCUGAAAGUUGCUACUGAACUGAGUCUAUGGCAGGAAGCUUUUCGUUCCAUUGAGGACAUAUAUGGUUUGAUGUGCAUGGUUAAAAAAACUCCCAAGGCGUCAUUAAUGGGUGUUUACUAUGGAAAGCUUACUGAGAUAUUUUGGAUGUCAUCAAAUCAUCUUUAUCAUGCUUAUGCCUGGCUCAAGCUUUUCUCUCUUCAGAAGGGUUUUAAUAAAAAUUUAAGCCAGAAGGAUUUGCAGUUAAUAGCAUCGUCUGUUGUCCUAGCUGCACUUUCAGUGCCUCCUUAUGAUCAGUCUUAUGGUGCAUCUCAUCUUGAGCUUGAAAAUGAGAAGGAGAGGAGUUUGAGGGUGGCCAAUCUAAUUGGUUUUGAAGUUGAACCCAAAGCCGAAAACAGAGUGGCGCUUUCUCGAUCAUCACUUCUCUCAGAGUUGGUGUCCAAAGGUGUGAUGUCCUGUGUCACUCAAGAAGUGAAAGAUCUUUAUCAUCUGUUAGAAAAUGAGUUUCUUCCUUUGGAUCUGGCACUGAAGGUGCAGCCCAUAUUGAAUAAAAUAUCAAAACUUGGCGGUAAGCUGUCUUCAGUUUCUUCGGUUCCUGAAGUGCAACUGUCUCAGUAUGUUCCUGCCUUAGAAAAGCUUGCUACUCUGAGGUUGCUCCAGCAGGUCUCUCAGGUGUAUCAGACAAUCCAGAUUGAUAACAUAUCUAAGAUGAUCCCAUUCUUCGACUUCACCGCUAUUGAGAAAAUAUCAGUUGAUGCGGUUAGGCGUAAUUUUCUUGCCAUCAAAGUCGAUCACAUGAAGGGUGCUGUCUUCUUUGGCAAACAGAGUAUUGAGGCUGAAGGACUCCGGGAUCAUCUGUCUCUUUUUGCUGAAUCCCUUAGCAAGGCAAGAACAAUGAUCUAUCCCCCAGCAAAGAAGACGGCCAAGCUCGGGGAUGCCUUGUCUAAUUUAGCGGAGAUAGUGGAGAAGGAGCACAAGAGACUUCUUGCAAGGAAGUCCAUUAUUGAAAAACGCAAAGAGGAGCAAGAGCGUUUACUCUUAGAAAUGGAACGAGUGGAAGAGUCGAAGAGGCGAGAGCUUCAAAAGAUGACAGAAGAUGCUGAGCAAAAGCGCAUUGCUGCCGAGUAUGAGCAAAGGAGGAGCCAGAGAAUUUUGAAGGAAAUAGAAGACCGAGAACUUGAAGAGGCACAAGCUAUGCUGCAAGAAGCUGAAAAACGCAGCAAGAGGAAGAAGAAGCCUAUUCUAGAGGGAGAAAAGAUGACUAAACAGGUGAUCAUGGAAUUGGCACUGAAUGAGCAACUGAGGGAGAGGCAAGAAAGGGAGAAAAAGUUGCAGAAGUAUGCCAAAACUAUGGAUCAUUUGGAAAGAGCUAAGAGAGAAGAAGCCGCACCUCUUAUUGAAGCUGCAUAUAAACAGCGUUUAGCUGAAGAGGCAGCUCUUCAUGAACGCGAGCAGCAGCAAGAGGUUGAAUUGAGCAGGCAACGCCAUGCUGGAGACUUGGAAGAGAAAAAGAGACUGGGACGCAUGUUGGAGAACAAGAGGAUUUUGCAAGAAAGAGUUGUUAGUAGCCGGGAAGCUGAACUCAAUAGAUUGAAGCAGGAGAGACGAGAAAGGAUCAGCCAGAUAAUUCAAUCAAGGAAGCAGGAGAGGGAAGCUAAGAGGAAAAUGUUAUUCUUUCUGCGAACUGAGGAGGAGCGUCAAAAGAGGUUACAGGAAGAGGAGGAAGCCCGCAAACGUGAAGAGGCAGAGAGACGGAAGAAAGAGGAAGCUGAGCGACAAGCCAAGCUAGAUGAGAUUGCUGAAAAGCAGAGGCUGCGAAUGAUAGAGCUUGAAGAGAAAGAAAGACGGGAAAAAGAAGAGAUCUUGCGCAGGCCUGCUGUACUGCCAAGGCCUUCUGAGCCUCAAGCCUUGGGGCGUCCAACUGAACUUGGAGGAGCUGCUCCCGUUCCUGCAGCAGCAGCUGCUGCACCUGCUGCUGGGAAAUACGUUCCUAGGCACUUGCGAGGUAACGUUGAUGCUGCAGGCCAGGCUCCACCUCCUGAUACUGACAGGUGGGGCACUGGAAGCAAGUCAGAUGAUAGACCAUCAUGGCGCGAUGAACGAAGGCCCACAUCAUUUGGUAGUAGUGGCUCGAGGACCAGUUGGUCAUCUUCUAGGCGGUGAAUGAGGGUUAGUAACUUAUGAGUCGUGCAGUGGCUUAUACUCAAGUCUUGCAUCCUCGGCAUUUUGGUUCAAGAAAUUCAAUUUGUUGCUUUUUACCUUAGUAUGUACCAGAGAUUGAUUAAUGUUGGGUAUUAUGAGCUCAAGAGUAGCAAUUCUUGGCUAGGACAUUUCCGACUGCAUGGAGAGGGGUUGAAAUUUUCGUCAGGCGAUUUGAUCUCGAUAUACUUUUUGUCGUAGCAAAUAACUACUACAGUUGCUGUUAUGUUCCAACUUCCUAUUUUCCUUAAGUAUAAGACGUUGCCUACUUUACUCCCUGCUGGUUUCAUGUUUUCUUCAUCCUUUCAUAUAUAUUUUUUCUUUGGCAAUUACAUUUUUGCGAUAGUAGUGAAAAUAAUACAUUUCCAGGUGAAGUGUUUUGUUUCCACUUAUGGACCAGAUGUU
rnacentral:misc_RNA from 1 species